GGACUACCCGGGUAUCUAAUCCUGUUUGCUCCCCACGCUUUCGCGCCUCAGCGUCAGUGUCGGUCCAGUGAGCCGCCUUCGCCACUGGUGUUCUUCCCAAUAUCUACGAAUUUCACCUCUACACUGGGAAUUCCACUCACCUCUCCCGAACUCUAGCAUGACAGUAUCAAAAGCAAUUCCCAGGUUGAGCCCGGGGCUUUCACUUCUAACUGGUCACGCCGCCUACGCGCCCUUUACGCCCAGUAAUUCCGAACAACGCUAGCCCCCUUCGUAUUACCGCGGCUGCUGGCAC
rnacentral:rRNA from 1 species